rnacentral:rRNA from 1 species
CUCGCGGCCUAUCAGCUAGUUGGUGAGGUAAUGGCUCACCAAGGCGUCGACGGGUAGCCGGCCUGAGAGGGUGACCGGCCACACUGGGACUGAGACACGGCCCAGACUCCUACGGGAGGCAGCAGUGGGGAAUAUUGCACAAUGGGCGCAAGCCUGAUGCAGCAACGCCGCGUGAGGGACGACGGCCUUCGGGUUGUAAACCUCUUUUAGCAGGGAAGAAGCGAAAGUGACGGUACCUGCAGAAAAAGCACCGGCUAACUACGUGCCAGCAGCCGCGGUAAUACGUAGGGUGCAAGCGUUAUCCGGAAUUAUUGGGCGUAAAGAGCUCGUAGGCGGUUUGUCGCGUCUGCUGUGAAAACCCGAGGCUCAACCUCGGGCCUGCAGUGGGUACGGGCAGACUAGAGUGCGGUAGGGGAGAUUGGAAUUCCUGGUGUAGCGGUGGAAUGCGCAGAUAUCAGGAGGAACACCGAUGGCGAAGGCAGAUCUCUGGGCCGUAACUGACGCUGAGGAGCGAAAGGGUGGGGAGCAAACAGGCUUAGAUACCCUGGUAGUCCACCCCGUAAACGUUGGGAACUAGUUGUGGGGUCCAUUCCACGGAUUCCGUGACGCAGCUAACGCA